UACAGAGGGUGCGAGCGUUAAUCGGAAUUACUGGGCGUAAAGCGUGCGUAGACGGUUAUCUAAGUCGGGUGUGAAAGCCCCGGGCUCAACCUGGGAAUUGCAUUCGAGACUGAAUAGCUAGGGUACGGUAGAGGGAAGCGGAAUUUCCGGUGUAGCGGUGAAAUGCGUAGAUAUCGGAAGGAACAUCAGUGGCGAAAGCGGCUUCCUGGACCAGUACCGACGUUCAGGCACGAAAGCGUGGGGAGCAAACAGG
rnacentral:rRNA from 1 species